GCACAACUUAACCCAAAACGGGGGGAGGGGGCAAAGUUACCACGAUUAAGCUGAAGUGUGCAAAUACGAAAUGGCUGUUAAGCUACGAUUUUUAUGGAAAUUGGCUACUGAAACCACAGGUACAUGGUAAGUCUCCAACUUAUUUAUUUUGUUCCCUACUUGACUGCACACAACUAAAGAUGAUUAAACGUUUCAACUUCAAGAUAGAGGCGUUGCCGCUCAAGAAGUUGAUAAUGCAGAGGACAUAUCAGCAUGCCCUCCCAUCAUC
rnacentral:lncRNA from 1 species